rnacentral:rRNA from 1 species
AUUGAACGCUGGCGGCAGGCCUAACACAUGCAAGUCGAGCGGAGCGGCGGACGGGGGAGUAAGGCCUAGGAAUCUGCCUGGGAGUGGGGGAUAACGUCCGGAAACGGGCGCUAAUACCGCAUACUAUCAGAUGAGCCUAGGUCGGAUUAGCUAGGUGGUGGGGUAAAGGCCUACCAAGGCGACGAGCCGUAUCUGGUCUGAGAGGAUGAUCAGUCACACUGGAACUGGGACACGUUCCAGACUCCUACGGGAGGCAGCAGUGGGGAAUAUUGGACAAUUGGCGCAAGCCUGAUCCAGCCAUGCCGCGUGUGUGAAGAAGGUCUUCGGAUUGUAAAGCACUUUCAGUUGGGAGGCGUUACCAACAGAAUAAGCACCGGCUAACUUCGUGCCAGCAGCCGCGGUAAUAC